AUGGGUGCCGGCGGCAGGAUGACGGAGAAGGAGCGGGAGAAGCAGGAGCAGCUCGGCCGCGCCAACGGCGGGGCAGCCUACCAGCGCUCGCCGACGGACAAGCCGCCGUUCACGCUGGGUCAGAUCAAGAAGGCAAUCCCGCCUCACUGCUUCCAGCGCUCCAUCAUCAAGUCCUUCUCCUACGUGGUCCAUGACCUGGUCAUCGUCGCGGCCCUGCUGUACGCGGCGCUGGUCUGGAUCCCCACCCUCCCGAGCGUGCUGCAGCUGGGCGCCUGGCCGCUCUACUGGGUCGUGCAGGGCUGCGUCAUGACCGGCGUCUGGGUCAUCGCGCACGAGUGCGGCCAUCACGCCUUCUCCGACUACUCGCUGCUCGAUGACACCGUCGGCCUGGUGCUCCACUCGUGGCUGCUCGUCCCCUACUUCUCGUGGAAGUACAGCCACCGUCGCCACCACUCUAACACCGGGUCGCUGGAGCGCGAUGAGGUGUUCGUCCCCAAGCAGAAGGAGGCGCUGGCGUGGUACACCCCUUACAUCUACAACAACCCCGUCGGCCGUCUGGUGCACAUCGUCGUGCAGCUCACCCUCGGGUGGCCGCUGUACCUGGCGCUCAACGCCUCAGGCCGCCCGUACCCGCGGUUCGCCUGCCACUUCGACCCCUACGGCCCGAUCUACAACGACCGGGAGCGAGCCCAGAUUUUCAUCUCAGACGUCGGAGUGCUGGCCGUGUCAUUGGCUCUGCUGAAGCUCGUGUCGUCGUUCGGGUUCUGGUGGGUGGUGCGGGUCUACGGCGUGCCGCUGCUGAUCGUGAACGCUUGGCUGGUCCUGAUCACCUACCUGCAGCACACCCACCCGGCGCUGCCGCACUACGACUCGACGGAGUGGGACUGGCUGCGGGGGGCGCUGGCCACCAUGGACCGCGACUACGGCAUCCUCAACCGCGUGUUCCACAACAUCACGGACACGCACGUGGCGCACCACCUAUUCUCCACCAUGCCGCACUACCACGCCAUGGAGGCCACCAAGGCGAUCAAGCCCAUCCUCGGCGAGUACUACCAGUUCGACCCCACCCCCGUCGCCAAGGCCACAUGGCGCGAGGCCAAGGAGUGCAUCUACGUCGAGCCCGAGGACCGCAAGGGGGUCUUCUGGUACAGCAACAAGUUCUAG
rnacentral:rRNA from 1 species